UAAGAGUUUGAUCCUGGCUCAGAUUGAACGCUGGCGGCAUGCUUUACACAUGCAAGUCGGACGGCAGCACAGGGAAGCUUGCUUCUCGGGUGGCGAGUGGCGAACGGGUGAGUAACAUAUCGGAACGUACCGGGUAGCGGGGGAUAACUGAUCGAAAGAUCAGCUAAUACCGCAUACGUCUUGAGAGGGAAAGCAGGGGACCUUCGGGCCUUGCGCUAUCCGAGCGGCCGAUAUCUGAUUAGCUGGUUGGCGGGGUAAAGGCCCACCAAGGCGACGAUCAGUAGCGGGUCUGAGAGGAUGAUCCGCCACACUGGGACUGAGACACGGCCCAGACUCCUACGGGAGGCAGCAGUGGGGAAUUUUGGACAAUGGGCGCAAGCCUGAUCCAGCCAUGCCGCGUGUCUGAAGAAGGCCUUCGGGUUGUAAAGGACUUUUGUCAGGGAAGAAAAGGCCGUUGCCAAUAUCGGCGGCCGAUGACGGUACCUGAAGAAUAAGCACCGGCUAACUACGUGCCAGCAGCCGCGGUAAUACGUAGGGUGCGAGCGUUAAUCGGAAUUACUGGGCGUAAAGCGGGCGCAGACGGUUACUUAAGCAGGAUGUGAAAUCCCCGGGCUCAACCCGGGAACUGCGUUCUGAACUGGGUGACUCGAGUGUGUCAGAGGGAGGUGGAAUUCCACGUGUAGCAGUGAAAUGCGUAGAGAUGUGGAGGAAUACCGAUGGCGAAGGCAGCCUCCUGGGAUAACACUGACGUUCAUGUCCGAAAGCGUGGGUAGCAAACAGGAUUAGAUACCCUGGUAGUCCACGCCCUAAACGAUGUCAAUUAGCUGUUGGGCAACUUGAUUGCUUGGUAGCGUAGCUAACGCGUGAAAUUGACCGCCUGGGGAGUACGGUCGCAAGAUUAAAACUCAAAGGAAUUGACGGGGACCCGCACAAGCGGUGGAUGAUGUGGAUUAAUUCGAUGCAACGCGAAGAACCUUACCUGGUUUUGACAUGUGCGGAAUCCUCCGGAGACGGAGGAGUGCCUUCGGGAGCCGUAACACAGGUGCUGCAUGGCUGUCGUCAGCUCGUGUCGUGAGAUGUUGGGUUAAGUCCCGCAACGAGCGCAACCCUUGUCAUUAGUUGCCAUCAUUCGGUUGGGCACUCUAAUGAGACUGCCGGUGACAAGCCGGAGGAAGGUGGGGAUGACGUCAAGUCCUCAUGGCCCUUAUGACCAGGGCUUCACACGUCAUACAAUGGUCGGUACAGAGGGUAGCCAAGCCGCGAGGCGGAGCCAAUCUCACAAAACCGAUCGUAGUCCGGAUUGCACUCUGCAACUCGAGUGCAUGAAGUCGGAAUCGCUAGUAAUCGCAGGUCAGCAUACUGCGGUGAAUACGUUCCCGGGUCUUGUACACACCGCCCGUCACACCAUGGGAGUGGGGGAUACCAGAAGUAGGUAGGGUAACCGCAAGGAGCCCGCUUACCACGGUAUGCUUCAUGACUGGGGUGAAGUCGUAACAAGGUAGCCGUAGGGGAACCUGCGGCUGGAUCACCUCCUUU
rnacentral:rRNA from 1 species